GUGCUCCCUUUGACAGCACAUAAACUGAAAUUGGAGGGAUACAGAAGAUCAGCAUGGCCCUGCACAAAGAUGACACACAAAUUUGUGAAGUGUUCCUGAGGAGA
ensembl:snRNA U6 U6 spliceosomal RNA